GUUUCAAUUCCUCAUAGGUAAGAUUCAAAC
rfam:Bacillus sp. VT-16-64 NODE_307, whole genome shotgun sequence.